ACAAGAGCUUCCAGCACUAUUCCAGUCUUCAUUAACUCAUCACAUACAAUACAAAGAAGUGAAUUGCACUGGAUUAGUCAAAUGUCUGCAUGGAUUUAUAAGGAAUGAGAGAUCCACGCAGAAUGUUCUUGUGGGCUUAAAGAAGAACCUCUGACGAAGCAGAAAGCUAUAAGUUUGAGGGGGAAAAAAGAGAAGAGAGAGGCUGGGUAUAAAAUAGCGACCAUCAACCAUCCCUAAUGUUCAUUAAUGUUCCUGCAUACUUGUAUAUAUGUAUAUAUCCAUGCCAUGCCAACUUGGAUGUGUUUGCCAGUUAUUUGAUUCGGUGUGGGGAGGACUUCAUCCCGUGUCAGUACUCACGGUCUUAAAUGGGAGCACUUUACCCUACUUAUUUGUUUUUUAACUUCUGAAGGAAUGACUGAAAACUCAUCCAAAGUCAUGAAUGCCUGUGGGCAUUCCCUGGAAGAAUUCCCUUCAUGCCUGGCACAGUGUGUCCAAAGUGAUGCUAACCCCUAGAUGUUGAAGAGGAGGAUGACAUCACACAGCUCUGGUUGAAGCCAUCUGCUCAUGGUGCUGAACUGGAAGGUGAGCUCCCGCAGAAACGCGGCCCUCGUUGAGAGUAUUGAGCUUUGCUGAAAGUCCUGACUCUAUUCCACAUUCACAAGGACAGCCUUACAAUGCAAAGCCUCUCCUUGGCAUAAGGACAGAUGCAAGCUUAUAACAGUAUGCACUUAGUUAUAGAGGUAAUUUUAUUUGCCUUUGUUAGAAUCUUUAAUAUAAAACUCAGUAAAAUGACCUCUCUAAUAAAAAUGGCUCAGAGAAAUAACAAUAAACAGGUUUUAUGAUAC
rnacentral:lncRNA from 7 species